rnacentral:rRNA from 1 species
UACAGAGGUCCCGAGCGUUGUUCGGAUUCACUGGGCGUAAAGGGUGCGUAGGUGGCGAGGUAAGUCGGAUGUGAAAGCUCGGAGCUCAACUCCGAAAUGGCAUUGGAAACUACCUUGCUCGAGGGUUGGAGGGGGGACUGGAAUACUUGGUGUAGCAGUGAAAUGCGUAGAUAUCAAGUGGAACACCAGUGGCGAAGGCGAGUCCCUGGACAACGACUGACACUGAUGCACGAAAGCUAGGGGAGCAAACAGG